rnacentral:rRNA from 1 species
UACGUAGGUGACAAGCGUUGUCCGGAUUUACUGGGCGUAAAGAGCGCGCAGGCGGUCGUUCAAGUCGAGUGUGAAAGCCCCCGGCUCAACUGGGGAGGGUCACUCGAUACUGAUCGACUCGAAGGCAGGAGAGGGUAGUGGAAUUCCCGGUGUAGUGGUGAAAUGCGUAGAUAUCGGGAGGAACACCAGUGGCGAAGGCGACUACCUGGCCUGUUCUUGACGCUGAGGCGCGAAAGCUAGGGAGCAACGGGAU